rnacentral:tRNA from 1 species
GGGUUGCUAGCUCAACGGUAGAGCGCUCGCCCGCAGAGCGAGCGGUUCCUGGUUCGAUCCCAGGGCGGCCCU